CGCUCUCUCUCACGGGAAACUUGAAAACAGGGCGCACAGUAAAAGUCAAACGUUUUAUAGCAUGCAUAGGUUCAUUCAUUUGAUGCAAGAUAAAUAAUAUCUUUUAAACUCAGUAGUCCACGCGCAGUAAACCGUUGCGAAAACCUGUCGAAAACAGUGACAGUGUUUGAAGGCAAAUUUAUAGUUGAACUAUGAUUCCAGCGGAACAUUCUGAAACCCAAACAAUCACUGAAGCCCAAAAGUGAGUCUAUAGAAAUUUGCAAACAACCAAGAGAUGCCAUUCGUGCUUGCUUCUGAAUUUUUCUGUUAUUUUUUUCGAAAAUGUAUCGACUAACCGGAAUUACCUUUUCAGGAUUUCCUGAAAAAAUGCGUUCAGCAAUAACCUUGCCUGGUUUUCCGGAAAUUUCGAGAGUGAGAUUCCCGUUGGGUUUGAGCAAAAAAAAAAAAUAGAAGAAACGAUGUGUGCAAAACUAAUGUAAAAAACUUCACUAGAAAUAAACCAAAACUCUCGUAAAACAAAAUUCCGUAGUUCACUAUUUAUUGGAUAAGAAAUUCAUUUUUUUUAAAUCCACGAAUUUUGCAAAAUAUGCUGUGUAUACCCAAAAAUUCCAACAAAUAAAACACUUUAAGGUCCAGCCAAGACGUCAGACACAAGCAAAAAACUCAUAGCUGGUGGACAAACU